ACCAUUCUUCAUUCAUACCCGGAUGGAACCCUGAUUAAAUGGCAUUCUAGCUUUCUACUAAAGUGUGUUGUACACGAUCCCCUGUCGUGACGCCUUAUUUUUAAUCUGGUUUUCCUUUUUCCUUCGCUUUCACGCUUCAUCAUCCGUCAGUCCGUUGCAAAAGCCAUCUAGAAGUAGAAUUUGUACUUGUUAACCUGGCCUCCAUAGUUGAUGCACAUAUUGAUGUUGAGCCUUCCCAUCCAGCAUCGCUACAAACUACUGGUCCUUCAGCAAUUAAACUAUUGCGUGGACUUGGUAGCAUCAAAUCUCUUAGACUAUCAAAUGAUACUCUUCAGUGUAUUUCCUAUGCAAAAAGUUCUCUCCAUCUCCUUCCUAUGUUCCACAAUUUGACACAUCUUAAUGUGGAUUCGAUAUCUUCCAAGUUCACUAAUGAAGCACUGAUGGACAUUCUCCAAAAGACACCUAAAUUGGAAGUUCUUGAUAUUCCUAUGGGAUUUGACCCACAAAUCUGCUUGGAUGGGGAAGACUAGAUAUGGAACUCAGUACCUUGCUAUUUCAAAUAUAGUCUCAAAUUAUUUUCUAUUUCAAAUUUUGAUGGGGGUGAAGCUGAAAUCCAGUUGCUCAAGUUUUUGUUAGAUAAUGCCACAGUUUUGGCGGAGAUCUGUAUAUUCUGUUCUAAAACUUUAUCUGCUGAUUUUAAGAAGCAGGUUGGGAUCAGCAAUCAGUUGCAACAUGUAGGCCUGGGAAAUUGUGUCAUUAAGUUUUAGUAAAUCUUCUUUCUUUUAUUUUGUUUAACUUUAUUUCUUCUUUUUUUAUUUGGUUUAUUUUUGCAAAAUAGGAUUAAUUUAUGUACAGAUGGUUAUGUAACCUUAUUCCAAAGCUUGAAUUGUGGUUACAUGACUUGCUUUACCGAGUUAGACUAACAAGCCUGGUUUAUGGGACAUGUACUUUGUGAAAUGACUUUGUUUUGUUAUUGGAAUGUACAUAAUAUUGGCUAAAAUUGACUAGUGUUACAAUUUUUAGAAUGAUCAGAGUAUUACCUAGAUCCAUUGAUCUAUGAUUCAAAUCCUCUAUUGAAGGAAGCUAACUAGAACCUUCGAGAGAUAGUUGAUGGUAAUCUGAACUACAGUUCUCAUUGAUUAAUGCAUAGCUUCUUAGAAUUGGUGCUGCUUCUGAUGAUGAACCUCUCUCCAGCUGAACAUGAAAAGACAGAAUCACAGAUAAUAAAAAUAUAGCUUUAUUUGGUUAACUUUUUGGUGUCAGCAAGAGUAAGCAUUUAUAAUUCUUCAAAUGGGGUUUAAAACAUCUAUCAUGUAAUAUUAGGAAAUUAUAUAACUUAUGAGAAUCUAAAUUGAAGAUAUCUGACUUAAAACAAAAAGUGUUUUAUGGAUACCUCAUCACUCAGUUCCUCUACUUUACUGGAGGGUGGUAUUUUUCUGCCUGUGAUAUCUUCAAAUAGAAUAACACCUUGCUGAUAUAUAUCUUCCUUUUCUACACUAUUUGUGCUGCAGAUAGGUUUAAAAACACAUUGUACUUAGACCAAAGAAUAAGCAGAGGAAAUACCUACCAAGAUGAUCAAGGACAAUGUCGAAGUUGAAGAGAACCUCACCAACAUGGAAUCCGCUAUCAAAACUCAUCCACUUUGGUCUGGCUUCUCUUCAACUCUACUACUAUAACAUAACACCCUCUUUCUACUUUUUGCUCUGUUUUCACAUGUUACUAAUUCUUUUGUUUUUCAUUGGGUCUUCCUUCAUUAUAUUUCCAUCCAGAUAUGAAGAUUUGUUAAUUCUUACAUGUAAACUUCAUUUUGGGAAUUUUGAAUAAUUUGGAAAUAUAAAGAAAGCUAUGGAAAUUGCACAAACUUCAAACCUGUGACUUCUUAGGGGUGUUGGCAUCUGCAUGCUUUAUUAUAUAGUCUACUAAUUUUAAUGUAGGAUCUACUAACUUGUAGACAAAUAACGGGGAUCAUCAUUUUCCUCAGGUACAAUAGACUUAGUCAUAGAAGAUAAUACUUAUAAAAUAAUGUUCACGCCUAACAACAUUAUGGUAGCAUACACCAAUCAAUUUCUCAGUCACUUUAGUUUUUGAAACUUGAAUUUGUACAUUUUAUCCCAUCCUUGCUUCUGAGGCUGGCCAAAUAAUUUUUAUUUUCUUGAGAGUUAAAAUAAAAAGGAUAAUAAAUGCUUGACAUGCAGUAUUUUCAUCUAGUUCUUUUAAAACUAAGUUGUGUUCUAAAUGUUCCUAGUGGCAUACAUUUCCCUAGCCUAAAGAAAUUAAAGCUUUCAUAUGUUACCUUUGCAAAUGAGAAGUCAGUUCACUGACUUUUUUCUGAGUACCCUGUCCAACAAAAGUUAACCUUGUAUAAUUGUAAUUGGUGUAACAUCGAGCAGAUCAGCAUAAAAUUUCCCACAUUGAAGACAUUAACCAUCUUUUGCGACCGAGUUGAUUUGCUCAAUUUUACAGUCGUUAUUGAUGCUCUGAAUCUUUUACAUUUCAGGUGCAAAAGCAUCUAAUUGUAAAAUUUGUCCUUGUUAACAUGGCCUCCAUAGUUGAUGCACAUAUCGGGGUUAGGCGUUUCUAUCUAGUGUGCCUUGAAUCAUGUGUUUAUUAUAUUUAUUUCAUAUUUCCUCUAAUUUUUUAUUUUAUUUUUUACUUUUACUACUGUCUUUCCUACGGACAAAAUUCUCUCAAUCUCCUUCCUAUGUUCAAUAAUUUGACACAUCUUCAUGUGGAUUCGAGAUCUUCCAAGUUCACUAGUAAAGCACUAAUGGGCAUUCUCCAAAAGACACAUAAAUUGGAAGUUUUUCUUAUGUAGGGAUUUGAUCCACAAAUCUACUUGGAUGGUAAAGUCUGGAUGUUAAACUCAGUACCUUGCUGUUUCAAAUAUAGACUUAAAUUAUUUUCUAUUUCAAAUUUUGAUGGGGUGCAGUUGAAAUUCAGUUGCUCAAGUUUUUGUUAAAAAAUGCCAAGGUUUUAGGGGAGAUCUUGAUAUUCUUCUCAAAGACUUUGUCUUUUGAAUUGAAGAAGAGCAGACUGAGAUCAGCAACCAGUUCCAACCCGUAGCGGGAGAAGUUGUGUCAUUAAGUUUCGGUAAAUCUUCUCUUUUAUUUUUUCGCCAAAAAGGAUUCAUUUAUGUACU